rnacentral:rRNA from 1 species
AAUGAACGCUGGCGGCAGGCCUAACACAUGCAAGUCGAACGAGGUAGCAAUACCUAGUGGCGGACGGGUGAGUAACGCGUGGGAACGUGCCCCUUGGUACGGAAUAGCCCUGGGAAACUGGGAGUAAUACCGCAUGUGGUCGAGAGACGAAAGCAUUCUCGCCAGGGGAUCGGCCCGCGUUGGAUUAGAUAGUUGGUGGGGUAAUGGCCUACCAAACCGACGCUCCAUAGCAGGUUUGGUAGGAUGAUCAGGCACACUGGUACUGAGAAACGGCCCAGUCUCCGACGGGAGGCAGCUGUGGGGAAUCUUAGACAAGGGGGGAAACCCUGAUCUAGCCAUGCCGCGUGAUCGAUGAAGGCCUUAGGGUUGUAAAGAUCUUUCAGUGGGGAAGAUAAUGACGGUACCCACAGAAGAAGCCCCGGCUAACUCCGUGCCAGCCGCCGCCGUAA